rnacentral:lncRNA from 1 species
GUUCCCUGCAAAAGUGGAGAGACUCAGGUCUGUGUCAAAGUGAUACUGCAAAAGUGAGAUAAAGAGUUCUCCUUCUGGUUGUUAAUUACCCUGCACAUUCCACAGAACUGAUGAAGUUUGCACAGAAUGGUCUGCAUAAAGCAGACGAGAUCCGUCUCUCAUCCCCUUAGAGCCCUGGGAUUUAUGGGAUCACAGAUAUCUAGACACACAUUCUGAUGCAGUGGUUGCCAGACCCAGCACUUGAAGGUGAGAAGUAGACUGAAGAAAGGGUGUAAUCCUGGAUAUAUGUUGUGCUUUUUUGUUUUUUGUUUUAUUGACCCCUGAUAGGUAGGUUGCCAAAAAAUUUGAACUUUCUCCACUUGGACAAGU